rnacentral:rRNA from 1 species
UACGAAGUGGGCUCGCGUUGUUCGGAAUUACUGGGCGUAAAGGGCGCGUAGGCUGUGCUGUAAGUCAGGCGUGAAAUCCCCGGGCUCAACCUGGGGAUUGCGUUUGAUACUGCGGCGCUGGAAUGCAGGAGAGGAUGGCGGAAUUCCCAGUGUAGAGGUGAAAUUCGUAGAUAUUGGGAAGAACACCGGUGGCGAAGGCGGCCAUCUGGCCUGUAAUUGACGCUGAGGCGCGAAAGCGUGGGGAGCAAACAGG